rnacentral:rRNA from 1 species
GACGAACGCUGGCGGCGUGCUUAACACAUGCAAGUCGAACGGAAAGGCCUUUUCGGAGGUACUCGAGUGGCGAACGGGUGAGUAACACGUGGGUGAUCUGCCCUGCACUCUGGGAUAAGCCUGGGAAACUGGGUCUAAUACCGGAUAGGACCGCACUUUAGUGUGUGUGGUGGAAAGUUUUUUCGGUGUAGGAUGAGCCCGCGGCCUAUCAGCUUGUUGGUGGGGUAAUGGCCUACCAAGGCGGCGACGGGCAGCCGGACUGAGAGGUUGGUCGGCCACAUUGGGACUGAGAUACGGCCCAGACUCCUACGGGAGGCAGCAGUGGGGAAUAUUGCACAAUGGGCGCAAGCCUGAUGCAGCGACGCCGCGGGGGGGAUGACGGCCUUCGGGUUGUAAACUCCUUUCGCCAGGGACGAAGCGUUUUGUGACGGUACCUGGAGAAGAAGCACCGGCUAACUACGUG